rnacentral:misc_RNA from 1 species
AUAUCUCAACCUUCUCGGUUUCUUCUGGACACCGAAGGAGGCUUGGACUUUGGAGGCCUUUGCUGGUGUCUCUCUCUUCUGAAACCCAGCUCCUCUUAAAUGAAUUAGCGGGGUCCUCUUUGCUGAUCCUCGACGUGUGAUAAGAUGUUUCCAUGUCUUGGUUUCUGGCUCUGUUGCUCCUGGGACCCGCUUCUAACCGUCUCAACCUUGCAUCGAGACAAUGUUUGAGCGCGUCUCCCUUCUCGGGAAAUGCUCUCAACCCCACGAAC